rnacentral:lncRNA from 1 species
UUUGUUGAAGUCAAGGUGCCGUCUUCAGCAUUUUCCCAGCUUUUCGUCCUCGCGCAGGAAGCAUAUCCGGUUAUUUAAAGUCCAGCUCGUUUGAGGAGAGGUUCCGACAGCGGUGGUCCAGCAGAGUUUACACCUGCACCGGCAGUUUGGAGGAAACGUGAAGGUAGCGCGGAUGGUCAGGUCAAACGGACUACAAAGGCCAAGAGCGCACAGCAGGAACCGUUUCUGCAGUCCUGAAGAGAAUUACCGCCCUGAACAGAGUAUUCAGGUACGUAUUACAUUAAAUCCACUUUUAUUUAUUUUUAUUUAUUUAUUUUUCGAAAUACUACUCUCCAUCUGAAAUAAUUGGCAUAACUAAAUAAGUAACUUAAAAAAUUAAAAUGUGUUUAAUAUUUUCGUAUAGGGUAGAGUGGGGUUAGUUGCGCCAACCCCUGUUGCUUGGAAAUGAUAAAAGAAAUUGAUCAUGUGGCCAAAUAUUUAUGAGAUGGGCAUCAAUUCAUGGACUCUGUGAAGGUUAGAAGUAAUGGAUGAAGUGGUUAGACAUUCAUUUACAAAAAAUCAUAUUCAAUCACAUUAACUACAACUAAGUUGAUCAGAAGUAUCCAAAAGAUGUUAUAUUGCCAUGUAUAUUUUUUACCUUAAAAAGCAGCACAGCAGAGUAGCAAAUUUCUGUAUUUUAGAUCAACAGCCCUGUGUGCAAGUGUCAAAGCUAUUUCCACUUGCCAUAUGGUCGUCAUUUUCACUCCCCUGGUGAAAUAGGAGAUGAAUUUGCACCUACUUUCAUGUCCAUAGGUGUUCUAAAUUUCCCCCCUGCUAAAGUUUGUUUCCAACAGUUUCCAACAGCUGAGUCCAAAUAAAUCUCUUGCAGUAUUUUCUGUUUUCUAAGCUAGAAACUACCUGACUGUGGGCGCCUCCAAGAAUCUCCUCAAACAGGUUUUCAGUUGUUAAUAAAGUGAACUUAUUCAGCUCUGGAAUAAAAACACAAAAAGUAACACUCACAGAUAAAUGUCAUAUUUCAACAUUCUGAUGCAACUCCUGUCUCCUAACAACUUUUAGGAGGGUGCUACAUUGAGAAUAAGAUAUUUUUAGACACAAGGUGGCAAUAGCAUAACCGAACUGAAACAAAACAAGCCUGAAAAUAAAUUGUGCACGUAGCUUAAAUUUUGGCAUAAUAAUUAAAGUUGUACGAAGGAAAAAAAGAAGAUAAAGCUAACUGAAGAAAAUGUGCAUUUCAAGGUGGGUAAUUGGGUAAAUCAAGCAGAGGGUGUAGUUGAACCCUGAUGUGAGCGAUCAAGCCUGCAUAAUGGGAUGAGAACCCUGGUGCCUCUCUUAAUUCACUUGGUGAGUGGCCUAGUAGUUAGCAUUGUCGCCCCCCAGCAAGAGGAUUCAGGCUUCCACAACAGGCCUGGCCUUUCAAUCUAUAGACCAACAGUGACCUGACAGUCUCCCACUGGAAUGUGUUCAACCUGAUUUUGAACCACGAAAGUGCUCUUGAAAGUUAAUAAACCUUAAUAAACAAGUGUUUGAGGUGAGCUAUAAGAACUUCUGCCUCUCAAGAUGGUUUAGGGUUCAAGACAAGGCCAGGGCUUUGUUAUUUGUGGCUUAAGUGUUCUGGGCUCCUCUCACAGGACUGUGGGCCAUGAUUUUUUAGCUAUGAGAAUGUACUUGAAAGUCGAAUCUUAAACAGGUAAGAGCUUGGGCUCUAAUUUUAGCACAGUUGGUUGAAGAGAGGCUAUAGAUUAACUGUAUUAAAAAUGUACACAAAGCAAAAAGACAACACCAAAUACCCUUCCUUGGCCAAAGCGAGAUUUUGUCUGCUUUAUCAGAUGCACCAGCAUGCUGGUUCUUCCCCUGUGUGAAUAUGUAGUGUUCCAGGUCUUAUGACUGGUAUGUUGAGGGCUAUAGAGCAGCAUUUUGGUUAAAGUUUGUAUGUGGCUCCUCAGACCGCUGUGUAUUGCUAUCGUGCGGUCAUUACGUAAGUUGGUAUAACUAGAGAAGCAAGCAGUUGGCAACAUUCAUCUCUCGAGGGGGUGUAUUACUUGGUGUUAUGGUGUGUUUGAGACUUAUUUAAUUUUACGCCGGAAUAUCCCUUUAGGACUACUGUCUCAUAAGGAACAGAGAGUUAAUUAGAAGCUGGUGCUGGCUGACCAGGCUGAGAGGAAUAAGAGGAAAAUGCAGCAGGAGCCUGCUGACAACAAGAGCAGAAGAAACAAUCUUAUUACUCUAGAGAUAAGUCAGAUAUCAUUUUAUAAAGACUAGCAGGUUGAAAUGUGGUGUUUUAAUAACUUUCUUGUUGCACUGAGUUAGUGUGCAGGCUUACCCUCUUUUCUUACUGAUGGUUUUAUUUGCCUUGUGCACAUAACCUUUUGUUAUUCACAGUUCUUGAUAAACACAUCAAAAACAUAUGUCUAACAUUUAUGAUUUCAGAAGACAAGGUGAUGCUGCAUUAUGGAAAUCAUUGCAUUCUUACCACACCAUAAAAUCCUGUGAGUUAAUGGACAUCACAUUAUUGUGCUCAAUUCACAGUCCCUAUUUUACUUGUAAGGAGUAACUUUUGCCACAUUAGACCCCACAUGAACUUUAAAUUGAGUUAAAUAUGAGUUUUUUUAAUGGUUCUGUGACUUGACCUAGAUCACUUGCACUAUUUUUAUAGGCUUCAUGCUAACGAAACUAUAGAGAUGAUCUUCCAGCCUAGAUCUCCAGGGAAAUCAGGUGGUGUUCUGUCCAAAAAGCCAGGACUCAGGACGCGCCUGGAAGCAGUCAGAGAGGCAUGAAAUCCUAAUGUUACCGUUCUUGUUACAGUGAGCAGACCAGGUCCAGCGGUCAUCCCUGCCUUACAAAGAUUAAUGGCUCGACUCACAGGUUGGGUUCCCAUUACGUAGUCUGUCCAUCGCCACCUCGUUAUGGACACAUCCUUCACUGUCAGGCAGCAAAAGAAGGAAGUCAAGUGGUCGUAUCCCUGCAAAUGUUGCUCACAAAAACCUGAUAUGCUCUGUAUGGCACAUGGCUAAGACCAGUAAAUCCUCGCCCCUGAGUGCGGUAUUCACACAGUCAAAACACUGCAUGUACCUUUUCAAAUUUAGGGAUUGGUACAGUUGGCUGUUUAUUGAGGACACUUCCUGCAUGAAUGGAAAUCUGUUUUUUUCUCUAUUUGAAGUCCAAAUUUUUUUCUACUUUUACUGUAUACUUGCAGAAAAAGCUGUUAUACCAAGUCAAUUUGCAUACAGCAUUCCCCACUCUCUUGUUUGUUCUUUUUGUACGAACUGUAAAGCUUCCUACAGGGAAUAAAUUCCACAACAAUCAAUCCCAAAACUUCAAAGCUAAAGCACAAGGAUGAUCAAUAUUGGGCUAAAUAUGCUAAUUUAUUUUGGCCAGGAAUAUCCUGUUUGUCUCUUUUUUUGCUGCUGUUGUUCACACUUAUUUACCAUAAAAUGUGUAGUCGUGUGUGUAUUUUCCUUUUCGUGUAUCCAUUGGCAUAAUAUUUGUCAGAGGGAUGCAAAGUAAAAGAAUUCUAGGCUGGACUCCCCAUCUGAUCUCAGGAUGAGAGACUGUAACUAAUGAUCUCGUGUCAAGCCGCGGAUAAUUUAUGGCUUCACAUACUUUCGGAUAAAUAGGAUAAUGCGUGCAUGUGCAUGAGGACACGUGUGUGUGUGUGUGUGUUUGUGUGCACAGCAUUGAGUGAUGUGCAGCAUGUGAUGGUGAUAAAGUGUCGUUUGUGUGUGCUUAUGUCUCUUGGUAUGCACCCAGUUGGUCAUGUGUGCUAGGAAAAGGAUGCACCGUGAAGAUAUCUGACAAAUAUCCAGGAAUUUUUAAAAAAAGAAAAGGAUUCAGGCCUCUGCUCCUCUUUUCCUAUGGGUGUAGUAUAGCUGCAGUUUCAAUAAUUCAUGGAGAAUUCUACAUGCCGAAGUGUAAGUUAUUGUGUUUUCAUGGAGCCAUUCAUCUUCAUAGUGACUAAUUUGCCCUGUGGUGUAAUGGCACUGAGGGCUUUGUGGGUGUAAUGGGAGUCAAUGACAUUUUCUGUAGCUGUGAUUGCCCUUGCUUUUUAGUUUCCCCCUGCACACCCAAAUACAAAUGUGCAUGCAGGUGGCACACACACACACACACGUACCACAGUUGUUUUUUUUUACUGUUAUUUUUUGCAGUUGGAGUUUUCAUACCUCCAAAAAAAUCUUAGCUUGAGUGAAUGCAGGCACUCCAUCCCUCACACCCAUCCGCCUAUUUAUCUAAGUAAGCUACAUGUAAGCUGUUAUUUAUGAUGAGCCUCUGGAGAAUUAUGGGAUCUAAGUAGCUUCCUUCUUAUUAUUGCCCUAAUGCGCAUUAAAGCAUUAAAGCUAGCCGUGUAUACUCUCCUGGUGGGUUUCUUCAUCCAUAUUCAUGAGGACGGGAGAACCUGAGGUUUGCUUGGCUGUCAGUACAUUAAUCUCAGAUACUCUCCAUCACUUUUUUCCCCGGCUUUCUCCUGUGAGAGAUUAGGGAGAUCAGAAGUGAGCUAAUGUAAUAAACAGCUGUGAUGGGCUGUCAUGUCUGUAUAAUCUCCGCGGAAAGAAUUGGCCUACGCUCUGUGUGACAUAUGGACGACAGAAGUUGUGAAUGCAACAAAGAGAGGCGUUCAAUGACGCCUGUGGCUCAGGACAAUAUGUUUUCUGUUUCAUGACAAGUCAUUUUAUCAUCAAAAGUACAGUGAUGUUUUUAUGAUUCGAAGAAAAAGAAAAGAGUGAUGUUUAUCAUCACUCCCCAAAAAAGUUUGAAAAGUUUAAACAUUUAUUUUUGAUGUUCAAAACCCAAUGGAUACAAACUUGAAAUUGACAAACAGCAGAAAAGGCACCAAUUUGGAAAUCUUGUUUGAUGUAUACACGUGUCAACAGUUCUCUGUAAUAGUUUUCUGCAAUCAGGGAAACACGCAGUUAUGAAAAACAAAUAUAACAUAAUUGGAGAAUGACAGUUUAUUACAAUUUAUGGCCUUAACUGCUGCGUUGUUAGUGCUCCUGAGGGAUGCAACCAUACGCACAAGAUGCUCUCUGAGGAGGAAUAAGCAGAUGUCUGUGAAAGAUGCAGAAAUUAUAUCUGCUGCAUGAAGAAAAGCAGAAUGAGGGUGCAAAAAAAAGCAAUAUUUGAUUGAGAAAGAGAGAAAUGGACGCAGAGAUCACUCACCUUUUUACCUCCGUCUUUACCUCCUCCUCCUCCAUCCCAGCUUCCCUCCUUCCUGCUGACAGAAAUACAUUAACUGAGACACGCUUGCCUUGAAGUUCCUCCCUCAGCAGCUGCUGUCUCAAACACUUUAUUGAGUUAUCGAACAGAGAAUAUAUAUGACAAAUGGAGUCAACAGACUGGGCUUUGGUUUACAUCCCUAUCCAAACAGUCUGUGUUUACUGUAGGAAAUCAAAGUAUAAAUCUGUACCCUGCCCAUCCGCGGAUCAAUAUUCUGCUUCAGAUGCCUUCAGGUGUCCGUCAACAAACACAUGAUUGCAUUGAAUACUGAAACUGUUCCUCAGAGCCACAGCUUUGUGUAAUUAACUCAGUGACCUGUUUGUCAUUUACACAUGCAUAGGUUGUAAAAAUUGUGAAAAGCCUGUCUUGUCUGAUAAACCUCCAGGUCUCUCACACAGCAAGGUGAGAGCAUGAAGGUUGUUGUUGCAUCUGGAUGCUGAAGGUAUGUCACCUAUUAGAUACACUGGCAGUUAUGUCGGUGUUUGCUGUUUAAAUGGUAGCACAAGAGGGGUUAACACAAGAAUCAGUGACCGUUCACUGGAGGCUGAAACCCUUGAGACAUAUGCAUCUGCUGAACUCAUUCAGGGACUCAUCCUCCGUCAGGCUGUGUGCACAUCUGUCAUCGCUGCCCCCCUGGCCCCCCUGCCCCAGAGGUUAAAGGGAAGGAUAAAAAAAGGGAGGAUGUUUGGAUUUGACCACAGGGGGAAAGAAAACAAUGGAAUUUCUUGAACAUCUUUUUGACAGAUGCACCUCCUGUCCAUCCGCAGUCCUCGCUGUAUAAUUCUGUGUAUUUGUCUGUGUCAUCAUCAUAUAACACUUUAAUGUCAAGACAGACAUUCAGUAAAUCACUUAUGUUAAGGCUGAAAAGGAUCGGUCCCAGUAUAGAACCUUGUGGAUUUCUAAAUGAGCUGCAACAGUAUGCUGAUUGUGCAUUUCCAAUUUGUACAGCUAGUUUCCUUAUUUUCAAGUACGACUUCAUCCAGUGGUUAGGUCAGUAGACAUCAGUAAUACGAAAACCUGCACCUUUCAUUAUUUUUAAUUUAAUAGUAAACAUUUAUUAAAGCUAAUUUGACCUUGAUGGGAUAUUCUGGCGUGAAAUUAAUUUAGGGUCAAACACACCGUAACACUGAGUUAGACUCCCUGUCGAGAAAUGAAUGAAUGAAUCUUUACCACACACAAACCUCAACCAAAAAGCCACUUUAUAGCCACAAAUAAUGCUCAGAACAGCACCUAACUUCAUCAACAGUACAUAUAGGGUCCCAGCCAUAGUAUACCAAACAUCUUUUUAGCUUUGCCUGAUUUCUUUAGCAGAGAAAUUAAACACAACUCACCGAUUCUCUUCCAGCAGCCGCUUGUUUGUACGAAGACCUCCGGCCAGUCCAUUAUGGACUACAGCGGGGUGACGCAGCUCAAGGAAGAACAUUUAUGAUAAUUUCUUUAUCAUUUCCUUGAAGUAAUAAUCAUCAUAUUAAUCAUUAUACACUGCAGACGCGGUAGUUCUUCUGCCUUAGCGUCUCGGUCUGAUUGCAUUUCCAUGAAGUAAUGACCCUGUUUGACCCUAACUUAAUUUUAUUUUCCCUUUAAAGGUCUGCAAGUGCCAGUCUGGCUUACAGUGGUCUGAAGAUGGUCAUUUUAUGAGCUAAAGAGCCAAGUCUGUGCAUUUGCCAAAUUCAG